AGCGAACGCUGGCGGCAGGCCUAACACAUGCAAGUCGAACGGACCCUCCGGGGUUAGUGGCGGACGGGUGAGUAACACGUGGGAACGUGCCCUUUGGUUCGGAACAACUCAGGGAAACUUGAGCUAAUACCGAAUGUGCCCUUCGGGGGAAAGAUUUAUCGCCAUUGGAGCGGCCCGCGUCUGAUUAGCUAGUUGGUGAGGUAAUGGCUCACCAAGGCGACGAUCAGUAGCUGGUCUGAGAGGAUGAUCAGCCACAUUGGGACUGAGACACGGCCCAAACUCCUACGGGAGGCAGCAGUGGGGAAUCUUGCGCAAUGGGCGAAAGCCUGACGCAGCCAUGCCGCGUGAAUGAUGAAGGUCUUAGGAUUGUAAAAUUCUUUCACCGGGGACGAUAAUGACGGUACCCGGAGAAGAAGCCCCGGCUAACUUCGUGCCAGCAGCCGCGGUAAGAC
rnacentral:rRNA from 1 species